rnacentral:lncRNA from 1 species
GGUGGAUGAAGAAAUUAAAAAUAAUUUUGGAAAAAUUGAUUGAAAAUUUGGGUUCGGUGGGUAUUUUUGAAAGAAAAUUCAGAAACCGGAUGUCAAAAUGCAAUUAAAGAAAAAUAAGCCACGAAGGACCGUCCAGUCAGCAGCCCCAACGAACCGGAGCGUGCUGCGUGGCAAGGCACACUGACUCGGUGCCACGCAGGAGGUCAUGCUGGCAAUCUGCGUGCCCUCGAUUGGACGGGUUGGAUGCAUUCUCGUGCGCGUGAACGGUCCAAAUCCGUUCCUUCCUCAGGCACGAUCGGACAGUCGCGAUUAAAUGCGAUGAACGGCCCAAAUUCGUUCCCUCUUUAAAUGCGAUCGUACAGUUAAAA